ACGUGCGGAGAGAGAGAGACCGAAAGCAGCAGCUGUUAUGAGACUUGGAGCAGCUCAACUCUUCAUUACACACUGUCAACCUCCUGGACCAGUGAUUUCCCAUCAUCUUGAGGCCAGGACAGCGGAGGCCCUGCCCUUGCUGCUAACCAGGGUAAUGGAGGCGGUGCGGAGACAGAUGGUGGAGUGUGACUUCAGUCCAGAGUUUCUCCAGAAACUUCAAGGU